rnacentral:lncRNA from 1 species
CCACUCAUGGUAACACAGCAUCCAACGUUCGGUGUCAGGGAUACAAGCUGUGGCAUCUGGUGCCCAGGCAGAAGUGUGUCUUUUGCUUACAAGAUGUGGCCCGCAGCUGCAAAGGGCAAGGAAUGACAGAACUCAGACCGGAGACCUGGACACGGGGAUAGUGGGUGUCUUAAGGAUGGUGUGUAAGGAGCUACAAGGAGGCUGUGCCUUGAUGACUUUUCAACCAGCUCUAUUAGCCCCCGGCUGUAUACCUUUAGAUUUCUUGUCAUAUGAGAAAGAUAAGCCCCUUAUUUGUGUAGCAUGAGGUUGAACAAAUAGGACUCACAGGGUGCCAUCACAAGGCAAUUUUAUUUUUAUCUCCCUGUCUCCAUUCAAACUUGUUCUGUGCAGAUGGUUCAUGGCCACCCCGUUGAAAUGAAUAUAGGGCGGGCACUCUCCAUUGGCAAAAAGUUCCUGGCUCACUUGAAGUCAUAAAAGUCUCAUUUCAGUAACUGCAAUUUAAAAAAACAUAUAGAGUGGUCAGAUUUGUGGAGACAGGGUGGAACAGCACUU